rnacentral:rRNA from 1 species
CCUACGGGUGGCUGCAGUGGGGGAUAUUGGACAAUGGGGGGAACCCUGAUCCAGCGACGCCGCGUGAGUGAAGAAGUAUUUCGGUAUGUAAAGCUCUGUCAGCAGGGAAGAAAGAAAUGACGGUACCUGACCAAGAAGCCCCGGCUAACUACGUGCCAGCAGCCGCGGUAAUACGUAGGGGGCAAGCGUUAUCCGGAAUUACUGGGUGUAAAGGGAGCGUAGACGGCUAAUCAAGUCAGAAGUGAAAACCCAGGGCUCAACCUUGGGAGUGCUUUUGAAACUGAGUAGCUAGAGUGCAGGAGAGGUAAGCGGAAUUCCUAGUGUAGCGGUGAAAUGCGUAGAUAUUAGGAGGAACACCAGUGGCGAAGGCGGCUUACUGGACUGUAACUGACGUUGAGGCUCGAAAGCGUGGGGAGCAAACAGGAUUAGAUACCCUAGUAGUC